AGUUAAACAAAUUUAAAAAAACCAAUAGACUCUUCCAUUUCACCUUCCCAAUCGCAAUCUGAACGACUCUAAGGUGAGUUCGGAGGUCAAUCAUUUUUUUCCCUCGGUUGGAAUCGACUAUUGAAGAAUUUUACUCUCCCAAUCCCAAUCUAAACGACUCUAAGGUGAGGUUUGUGAUGAAGAAGUGUCGGAGGUCAAUCGAAUGUGGCUUCUCAGUUGGACUCGACGAUUGAAGAAUUUCACUCUCCCAAUCCCAAUCUGAACGAAUCUAAGGUGAGCUCUGUGACGAAGAAGAUAAAGACUUAAGCUUUUUAAGUAUUUUCAUGGUGAGAGCUUGAUCAGAGGCCCAAUUGGAGAAAAUCGUUUCUGGGUUAUUGAGAUUUUUUUUAGAGAUUUGUGUUUUGGGGUCAGAGAUUUGUGGGGGGUUUUGAAGGGUUUGAUUUCAAUGUUGGUUCAAGAUAGAGUAGGGCCUAAGUCUCCCAAACAAGUUAUUUGUUUGCAAUUCAGCAUGGUGCGAAGAAAAUCUUUGAUGCUGAUGAUCGUGGUGAGGUGAUCGAUGGUGAUUUGGGUAAGCAUUUUGAUGUUGGAUUGGUAGGAGAAGAUGCUAGACAAGAGACUAUUAUGCAGUAUAGUCAUGAAAAUCCUAAUAGGACUGUUGUGAAUCCUUAUAUUCAUUUUGAUACAUACACAGACAAAGAAUAAAGGCCAUUUCAUAUAGAAAUAUCGAUGAACGGUUUUAGAAUCAUCCGUACAUUAUAAGUUUCCUACUAGAUUUGGUGGUCAGACCUGUUGAUUUAAUUCUGAAGGGUAUAUUGAUGGGAAGAAUGACUGAAGGCUUGAUGAUUGUCUUCGUUAUUGCAUUGUUGCUGGGAAGAAAGUUCUUGAAGAUGCUGAUCUUGGUGGUGAAAAGCUCUCCAAGCUCCUGAGGUGGUUGAAAAGCCAGGAGAUAAUUCCUUAGCAAAACUGAAGCAUCUAUAUACCCAUGCUAAAGAUCUUUCUCAAAGUGAAGUAAGUUUCAGUGUUUCUAAUAUAUGUUGAUGAAUCAACUUGAUGCCCUGGUUCUUUCUGGAACUCAAGGGCAGCAACGUCGAAGAAAUGGUAUGCACUCUCAGCUUGGAGCUAUUAGAUUUUUCUUUGGAAAGAUUACUAUUUGCAAGGGCUUUAAAUGUUUUCCAUUUUUGGAAAAGACUAAUAGGCAUGAAUUAAUAUUCUAAGCGUUCUCGUUGGUGUUAUUUAUGUACAGAGGAUAGUAAAAAGAUACCAUUUUUCAUAUAAAAAUUGCUCAUCCUUGCUUAUAGCUCAUAAGCUAAAAUGACUUGAUAAACUUCUUUUUUAGUACCACAUGUGAGCCAUGACCCUUGAGAGCAUUUCUCUGUAAUAUGUUGUAUCUAUUUGUGCAUAGGAGUCAACUCACAAAUAGUAAAUCUUUUUGAGAUUUAACAGCA